GACGAACGCUGGCGGCGUGCUUAACACAUGCAAGUCGAACGGAAAGGCCCUGCUUUUGUGGGGUGCUCGAGUGGCGAACGGGUGAGUAACACGUGAGUAACCUGCCCUUGACUUUGGGAUAACUUCAGGAAACUGGGGCUAAUACCGGAUAGGAGCUCCUGCUGCAUGGUGGGGGUUGGAAAGUUUCGGCGGUUGGGGAUGGACUCGCGGCUUAUCAGCUUGUUGGUGGGGUAGUGGCUUACCAAGGCCUUGACGGGUAGCCGGCCUGAGAGGGUGACCGGCCACAUUGGGACUGAGAUACGGCCCAGACUCCUACGGGAGGCAGCAGUGGGGAAUAUUGCACAAUGGGCGGAAGCCUGAUGCAGCAACGCCGCGUGCGGGAUGACGGCCUUCGGGUUGUAAACCGCUUUCGCCUGUGACGAAGCGCGAGUGACGGUAAUGGGUAAAGAAGCACCGGCUAACUACGUG
rnacentral:rRNA from 1 species